AAGAAUCUUCAUUUAUCUUUUAUUCGAAAUGUAAUUCGGAUUCAAUGAAAAUAUUGAACAUAUAAUGUGUGCACAUGGAAAUGUCCAAAUCUUUAAAUAUAGGGUCGACAUGGGAGAAAUCUCCUCAGACAUUGAAUUUAUUGAGUGCAUUUUCAGAGGAAAAUCCUGAAACAUGUUACAGGCAAAUAUUAAGAAAAACAAUGCACAAGCAUAAGUACAAAAACAUAGCAUGCAAGAAAUCAAUACUUGAAAGGAUUAAAAUCACUGCUAACCUAAGACAUUGAAUCUAGCACCACUAGGAAACAUCCGAAAUGAUACUUGUCUUUCAAUGUUGAGAUACAUACGUCCAAGUCUGCCAUGUUGCGCCAAACUGGAAUUCAUCAACCU
rnacentral:lncRNA from 1 species